CAAAGGUCCUGAGUUUACAAUAAAGUGAGAAUAAUUAAGGAGCAGUAGAGAGGUUUUCAUAGAUAAGCAGACUCCCACACUGAUGUACAGACUUAACCUUAUAUUUAAACAUUAAUUCCAGUAAAGCCUAUUUUAAU